rnacentral:rRNA from 1 species
AUUGAACGCUGGCGGCAUGCUUUACACAUGCAAGUCGAACGGUAACAGGGAGCUUGCUCCGCUGACGAGUGGCGAACGGGUGAGUAAUGCAUCGGAACGUACCGUGUAAUGGGGGAUAACGUAGCGAAAGUUACGCUAAUACCGCAUACGCCCUGAGGGGGAAAGUGGGGGACCGCAAGGCCUCACGUUAUACGAGCGGCCGAUGUCGGAUUAGCUAGUUGGUGGGGUAAAGGCCUACCAAGGCGACGAUCCGUAGCGGGUCUGAGAGGAUGAUCCGCCACACUGGGACUGAGACACGGCCCAGACUCCUACGGGAGGCAGCAGUGGGGAAUAUUGCGCAAUGGGCGAAAGCCUGACGCAGCCAUACCGCGUGUGUGAAGAAGGCC